ACUACUUUCAGCAAAUCUUCGGUCCACACGGCAGUGGUGGGAAGCGGGAGGCCAGAGUGAGGGAGAGAUAAAGGGGCUCCUUCACAGAGGCCCCAGCUUCCAGGAAGAAGAACACACUGCCAGCACUUCCUGUUUGUCUAGUCACAUCUUUCUUGCUUCACCAACAUCCCUGAGGAUUCUGGGUGGAGACCCCCUGCCUGGGCUUCAUAGACUUCCCUAGAGAUGGCCCCACAGAACGAUGGAGGACACCAUCCCAGGCCCUUAAGGGCCUGGAGGACCUGGAGAGCCGCGCAUGCCAGGUGGACCCUGCAGAAGAAACCAAAGGAACAAGAUGGAGAGUCCGAGGCCCCACAGUAACCUGUGUUACAGUACCUGCUUCCAUCCAGCUCCCUGAGGCUGCAGAUGGGAGAAGACUGCUGAUGUCAAAGCAGAACCAUUUAGCUGAUGUUAAAAUGGCCUUUCAUUCAGUUCAUUCAGUCAUCCAACAAACAUUUAUUGAGCAGCUAUUAUG